GCAUGAUAUACAGCCAUUUUGUUCUAUUUGAAGUCUCUUCCUCUCCCAUAUUUUCGACUCGUGAUCAAACGCUGUCCGACAUUGUAGAGGAGGGGCAAGUCCUCCUGAUGCUUCCGACAGCAACUGUCAUAUUCUACCGUUGCCACGCCUGAGCCUCGUGAGGUAACUGGGGUAAAUAAAGAAGGCUUUGUCACCCCAUGUGUCAGGUCAAGCUGCUGCCUCUCCUUUCCUUCCACGUUGCUCUCAAGAGUAAAGGAGUCCAUGAUUCCUCUCAGCCCCAGAGAAAACCAAGACAGGGAGCAGCCUCUUUCUCAAAAUCCAGGUCCCCUUCCUGGAGCAGAGAGAAGCAGGAUAGCUUGGAAGGUCUUCACUUCUCCCGUGUGGGGUCAACGCAGAUGGAGAGGUUACAGCACUGUGCCAGGAGGACAGGCACACCUGACCAAACUCGACUUCCAUUUCAGGGGCUUUCAAAUUCUUUUGAUUGUGCUCCAAAAACGGAAAAAAUUUCUUUUUAAUUUUAAAAACUUGAGGUGAAAUUCACAUUACACAAAUUUAACCAUUUUAAAGUGUAUAAUUCAAUGGUAUUUAGUAUAUUCACAAUGCUGUGCAACCACCCCCUCUCUCUAGUUCUAAAAUACUUUCAUCACCAAGGAUAUGCUAUCUGUACUAAUUAAGUCAUAACCUCCCAUUCCCCAUGACCUCCAGCCCCCAACAAUCAUUCAUCUGCUUCUCAUCUCUAGGGAUUUACCUAUUUGGAUGUUCCAUAUAAAUGGAAUCAGACAACAUGUGAUGUUUUACCUCUGGCUUCUCUCACUUAGCAUAAUGUUUUGAGGUUCAUCCAUGUUGUAGUAGUUUCAAUACUUCAUUCCUUUUUGUGGCUUAAUAAUAUUCCAUUGAAUGGAUAUACCACAUUUUGGUCUAUACCAAACAUUGAUGACUUUCAGUUUGUUUCCACCUUUUGGCCAUUGUGAAUAGUAGUGCUGAGAACAUUUGUGUACAAGUAUUUGUUUGAAUACCUAUUUUCAAUUAUUCUGAGUAUAUAUCUGAGAGUGAAAUUGUUGGGUCAUAUGAUAAUUCUGUGUUUAACUUUUUGAGGGACUGUCAAAUUGUUUUUCAUAGCAAUUGCACCAUUUUACAUUCCCACCAACUAUGCAUAAGGGUUCCAAUUCCUUCACAUCCUUACCAACACUUGUAGUUUUCUAUUGUUUUUGUAAAAAAAUAGCCAUCCUAGUGGGUGUGAAAAAAUACAUUUAAAAAAUUGUUUGCAUUUUACAUUACAACUUACUACACACACACAUGCAAACAGAAAAUAACUGAAACAUUGUUUCACAAAAUAAUAUUGUACUCUGAUAUUUUCUAUUCUAUCCUAGUAUAAUCUAUCCUAUCUCAUUUUUCUUAAAAAAUGCUGAUUGCACCUCACUAAAUUGAUUUCAUUCUCCACUAAUGGGUUGUGGUACACUCUUUGAAAAUCUUUGCUCUGACUGGAUGCAUAGAUUUUUCUAGGAUCUUUUUUAUGUUUACAUGAAAAAUAGGAAUGAUUUCCUUUCGUGCAUACUGGAAGAGAUCUUACUAUACAGCAAAUAAAAUUCAUAAUCAUAAUUUACA
rnacentral:lncRNA from 1 species